GACGAACGCUGGCGGCGUGCUUAACACAUGCAAGUCGAACGGUGAAGCGCCUUCCUUUUUGGUGGGUGUGGAUGAGUGGCGAACGGGUGAGUAACACGUGAGUAACCUGCCCCCUUCUUCUGGAUAACCGCAUGAAAGUGUGGCUAAUACGGGAUAUUCUGGGUCUGUCGCAUGAUGGGUCUGGGAAAGAUAUUGUUUCGGUGGGGGAUGGGCUCGCGGCCUAUCAGCUUGUUGGUGGGGUGAUGGCCUACCAAGGCGGUGACGGGUAGCCGGCCUGAGAGGGUGGACGGUCACACAGGGACGGAGACACGGCCCAGACUCCUACGGGAGGCAGCAGGGGGGAAUAUUGCACAAUGGGCGCAAGCCUGAUGCAGCGACGCCGCGUGAGGGAUGGAGGCCUUCGGGUUGUGAACCUCUUUCGCCAGUGAAGCAGGCCUGCCUCGUUUGUGGGUGGGUUGACGGUAGCUGGAUAAGAAGCGCCGGCUAACUACGUG
rnacentral:rRNA from 1 species